rnacentral:rRNA from 1 species
AGCGAACGCUGGCGGCAGGCUUAACACAUGCAAGUCGAGCGGGCACUUCGGUGUCAGCGGCAGACGGGUGAGUAACACGUGGGAACGUACCCUUCGGUUCGGAAUAACGCUGGGAAACUAGCGCUAAUACCGGAUACGCCCUUUUGGGGAAAGGUUUACUGCCGAAGGAUCGGCCCGCGUCUGAUUAGCUAGUUGGUGGGGUAAUGGCCUACCAAGGCGACGAUCAGUAGCUGGUCUGAGAGGAUGAUCAGCCACACUGGGACUGAGACACGGCCCAGACUCCUACGGGAGGCAGCAGUGGGGAAUAUUGGACAAUGGGCGCAAGCCUGAUCCAGCCAUGCCGUGUGAGUGAUGAAGGCCUUAGGGUUGUAAAGCUCUUUUGUCCGGGACGAUAAUGACGGUACCGGAAGAAUAAGCCCCGGCUAACUUCGUG